rnacentral:rRNA from 1 species
AUUGAACGCUGGCGGCAGGCCUAACACAUGCAAGUCGAGCGCGCGGCGGACGGGUGAGUAAUGUCUGGGAAACUGCCUGAUGGAGGGGGAUAACUACUGGAUACGGUAGCUAAUACCGCAUCCCAUCAGAUGUGCCCAGAUGGGAUUAGCUAGUAGGUGGGGUAACGGCUCACCUAGGCAACGAUCCCUAGCUGGUCUUGGAGGAUGACCAGCCACACUGGAACUGAGACACGGUCCAGACUCCUACGGGAGGCAGCAGUGGGGAAUAUUGCACAAUGGGCGCAAGCCUGAUGCAGCCAUGCCGCGGGUGUGAAGAAGGCCUUCGGGUUGUAAAGCACUUUCAGCGGGGAGGCGUUACCCGCAGAAGAAGCACCGGCUAACUCCGGGCCAGCAGCCGCGGUAAUUC